UACGUAGGGUGCAAGCGUUGUCCGGAAUUUAUUGGGCGUAAAGAGCUCGUAGGCGGUUUGUCGCGUCGGCUGUGAAAGCCCGGGGCUCAACUCCGGGUCUGCAGUCGAUACGGGCAGACUUGAGUGUUGCAGGGGAGACUGGAAUUCCUGGUGUAGCGGUGAAAUGCGCAGAUAUCAGGAGGAACACCGGUGGCGAAGGCGGGUCUCUGGGCAACAACUGACGCUGAGGAGCGAAAGCGUGGGGAGCGAACAGG
rnacentral:rRNA from 1 species